AGAUAAUUAGUGCGGCAGAUCCUGUUCUGGCCAAAAUGCUAACAGUUGUACAAGGAGAAGACUGGAAGAGAAUUCGUUCAAUAGUAUCACCGACAUUUUCUUCUGGCAAACUGAAGCGCGUUUUCAGCAUCUUUCAAGAUUGCUCUAAAACAUUGAUACAGAAUUUUAUGAAAUCGUACGAACAUGAUAUUUCAAUCGAUGUUUU